GACGAACCGUGCGAACGUUGUUCGGAAUCACUGGGCUUAAAGGGCGCGUAGGCGGACGACCAAGGUCAGGGGUGAAAGCCCCCAGCUCAACUGGGGAGGUGCCUUUGAUACUGGUCGUCUCGAGGGAGGUAGGGGCGUGCGGAACUUCCGGUGGAGCGGUGAAAUGCGUAGAUAUCGGAAGGAACGCCGGUGGCGAAGCGGCGCGCUGGACCUCUCUGACGCUGAGGCGGCGAAAGCUAGGGGAGCAACGGG
rnacentral:rRNA from 1 species